ensembl:snRNA U6 U6 spliceosomal RNA
GUGCUCACUUCAAUAGCAUGCAUACUAAAAUUGGAAUGGUACAGAGAAGAAUAGGUGACACACAAAUCCAUGAAGCAUUUCACAUUUAU